GGGGAAAACGGGACUGAAAACGGGAGUGAAGAAGCCACCAACCCCACUCCUGGUGCUCGCGUUGACUAGACCAGUGCGAUGGGCGGAGCCAACGAGGAGGCACAAUUUACAUCCUUGGCCGUCCCUACUCGGAUUUGCCGAAGGAGUCACGUCGGUCGUUAAGGUAGCUUCUUGCUGGAGAUUCCUGGAUGGAUUCCAGUCUUCCCAAGAGGUAACAAAGGAGAGGUAACCAGUUGCCCGUGCAGUAGCUCAAGAAUACAGAAGAGAAACUGGCUUCACUCACUAUUCCAUCUUUUUCCAAG